GACGAACGCUGGCGGCGUGCCUAAUACAUGCAAGUAGAACGCUGAAGAGAGGAGCUUGCUCUUCUUGGAUGAGUGGCGAACGGGUGAGUAACGCGUAGGUAACCUGCCUUGUAGCGGGGGAUAACUAUUGGAAACGAUAGCUAAUACCGCAUAACAAUGGAUGACACAUGUCAUUUAUUUUAAAGGGGCAAUUGCUCCACUACAAGAUGGACCUGCGUUGUAUUAGCUAGUAGGUGAGGUAAUGGCUCACCUAGGCGACGAUACAUAGCCGACCUGAGAGGGUGAUCGGCCACACUGGGACUGAGACACGGCCCAGACUCCUACGGGAGGCAGCAGUAGGGAAUCUUCGGCAAUGGGGGCAACCCUGACCGAGGAACGCCGCGGGAGUGAAGAAGGUUUUCGGAUCGUAAAGCUCUGUUGUAAGUCAAGAACGGGUGUGAGAGUGGAAAGUUCACACUGUGACGUUAGCUGACCAGAAAGGGACGGCUAACUACGUG
rnacentral:rRNA from 1 species